GUGGGGAAUAUUGGACAAUGGGCGAAAGCCUGAUCCAGCCAUGCCGCGUGUGUGAAGAAGGUCUUCGGAUUGUAAAGCACUUUAAGUUGGGAGGAAGGGCAGUAAGUUAAUACCUUGCUGUUUUGACGUUACCGACAGAAUAAGCACCGACUAACUUCGUGCCAGCAGCCGCGGUAAUACGAAGGGUGCAAGCGUUAAUCGGAAUUACUGGGCGUAAAGCGCGCGUAGGUGGUUUUGUAAGUUGGAGGUGAAAUCCCCGGGCUCAACCUGGGAACUGCCUCCAAAACUGCAUGACUAGAGUACGGUAGAGGGUAGUGGAAUUUCCUGUGUAGCGGUGAAAUGCGUAGAUAUAGGAAGGAACACCAGUGGCGAAGGCGACUACCUGGACUGAUACUGACACAGAGGUGCGAAAGCGUGGGGAGCAAACAGGAUUAGAUACCCGGGUAGUCC
rnacentral:rRNA from 1 species